UGUACUUUGACUUGUGCUGGAUAAAUUUUCCUUUUUAAUUAAUUUCCUUUGUUAAUUUAAUACAAAGUGUCUCAAAUAAGAUCGUUUUUAAAAAGGGAUUUAUGUAUUUUCAAUUCCUUCAUUAGGUGGGGCUUGGGAGCCUCAUGCACUAAGUCUCCCUUUAAUGUAUUUUCAAUUCCCUUCAAAGAAAGUGUCUGAAAUUCAACUUAUACCUGAACAAAAAGUUCCAAUGGUUGAUGCUCCUCCAUGAGUGAGCAGUCUUAGCCACCACAGUCACAACGUCCACCAUGCCUCCAUGAGUGAGCAGUCUUAGCCACCACAGUUAAUUUAACUAUCUGCAUGAGUUUCAAAAAUCAUAAGAAGCAGAACAUUAAUGAUUCAACACCAUAAAGGGACCUCCUAAGCUGGUAAGAAUCAGCAUGAAAAGCUUUGUUAUAUAAAGAUUUGGAUUCCUCAUAAUUCUCCAUCCACAACAAAAAACUACUUCUGAAUUCAGUUAACACACCAACCCCACAUCCAAAGCUUCAGUUCAAUAUGGCAACCUUGUCAAGUUUUGCUCCUUUGGACAAGUGACAGGGGACAAUGGCACCAUAGAUGGUCAAGGAGCAUUUUGGAGGCAGCAAUUUUACAACAAAAGGUUGAACUAUACUCGACCCUACCUGAUUGAAUUAAUGUUCUCAGACAAGAUUCAAAUCUCCAAUCUAACGCUCCUAAACUCUCCAUCGUGGAAUGUUCAUCCUGUUUAUAGCAGGUUAUUCAACAUUUAACAUCGUUGCUUUCGUAAGCACCGAUGUAGAAAUAUGUAAUUUUUACAUCGGUGCUUCCACCGACACCGAUGUUAAAACACGCAUUUCUACAUUGGUGGUCAAUAUAGCACUGAUGUUAAAACACACAUUUCUACAUCGGUGGUCAACAUAGCCCUGAUGUAAAAAAUUCAACCUUCAACAACGGGCAUGCGUCAGCAACAUUGUCAAUAGCACAUUGUUUAAGUUGUUGAUGAUAUCAGCAACAUAGUCAAUAAAUGUUUUUCAAAGACGGUGGUUUGGUUAGCACCGAUGUAGAAAACAAUGUGUUUUCUACAUCUUUCGAUAUAGGACCGAUGUCAAAACUUUUGGUAUUCAACGACGUCAUAUUCUAUAUCGGUUAACCACCAAUGUAGAAUGUCGUUUUCGACCGAUGUAAAAACCGUGUUUUGUAGUAGUGGCUCCAGAACCUCGAGACCUUAGACAUACGGAACACAAUGGUCACGAAAAUGCCAAAGGAGAUUUGCAAGCAUAGAAAGCUACGACAUCUGUUGGGUGAUGAAAUGACAUUGUUUCAAUUGAAAAAUAGUCUAAGAGGCAUGACAUCCCUACAGACAUUGCAUCAAGUAAGUUUAGUUAUUUUGGAUGAAUAUGGAGAAAAGAUAAAUAAGGAUGGUGAUGUAAUAAAGUUAAUCAGAGAACUGAGAAAGCUGAAGCAGUUAAGGAACUUAGGCGUGAUGGAUGUGAAGGAAGAACAGGGAAGCACUCUAUGUUCCUCAAUAAAUGAGAUUCAAAACUUGGAGAAACUAAAUAUUGUAUCAACAUAGGAUGGAGUCCUUGAUUUGCCUUUUAUUUCAUCCUUGCACAUGCUUCAUAAGCUUAGGCUAUCUGGGAAGUUAAAUAAAUUUCCAGAGUGGGUUUCACAUCUCAAAAAUCUUGUGAAAUUGUUUUUGAUACACUCCAGGUUGAUGAUCCAUUGAAAUCACUACAAAAUAUGUCACAGUUGUUGUUCCUUGCGAUUGGCUCCAUGUCUUAUGAAGGUAAAAAUUUGUAUUUUCAAGAUGGAGGCAUUCAACAACUAAAGGAACUGCGUCUCAAAUAUUUAUAUAAUUUGGAUUCCAUCGUUAUCUAUAAAGGAGCAUUGCAUUCUUUGAGAAAACUCCAAUUUAGGGAAAUACCCCAACUUAAUACAGUACCUCUUGGCAUCCAACACUUGAAAAAGCUUGAAGUUUAAGAUAUACAUCAUAUGUCGACUGAAUUCAACAACUGCAUUUCUCCCAAUGAAGGUCUAAAGAACCCAAUCAUCCAGCAUGUGCCCCUGGUAAGAAUUACUACCAGCCUCGAAGAAGGAGAAAAAACUCACGUUAUUCAUUCAUCAUUCAAGGAAUUAGAAUUCAUAAGAAGGAAUUGGGCUUUCAGUCUCUGAACUUUAGAUUCUCCAUGUUGCACUUUCAACAAUGGCAUUAAAUCAUUUUGUUUCAAAAGUGUCUCUUUGGUCCCCAGAUGAAAAGGAUAUGUAAAGUUCUUUGGUCCCCAGAUGAAAAGGAUAUGUGAAGUUCUCUUUCUUGGACUAAGUCAUUUGAGUUUAUGACCGUUUGUGAUGUAUAAUACUGUAUGAAACAUACUAUAACAGUGUGUCUUUCAAGGAUUGUAAGAUCUUAUUUUCUAUUUGACUUAUGCCU